CGCUGCUGAAACACCAAGUCCGUGAGUCAGGCCCAAGGUAUGCCAGGAGCGCGUCCGCUUCGGGAGUAACUGGCGGUGCAACGGAAGAGGCAAGAAAAGAGAGAAAGAGAGAGAGAUGUGAGUCGAGUCGUUGCCCGCGAGAACUUCUCCUCCCUCGAUCAGGAGUCGGGGUCGAGGUGAACUUCUAUCGUGCGAUCCUUUUUGCAUACAUAUAGACUUACGUCGCUGAUCUUGAGAGAUAAGAAUGCGUGAUGAAAGUAACACUUAAUAUUCCGAUUUCAAUUUUGAAACUGUUCAAGCAUAGUUCCUCCUGAUUCUUAUGGCUUCUUUUUGCAAUGCUGAUAUAAACUGACAAGAGUCGAUUAUAUGUUAACAAGAUAAAAUAAUUACAUAGAAGAGUAGCGAAAUUUCCCGAUUUCUCAGCAGAAACCUGAUACUAAUAAUUAAUAACAAGGUCUAAAAAUAAAUUUACGUAGAAAACCAAUUUCUAAGAAAUAUUCUCUAGGUUCUUCGUCAUCUGGAUAAUUAUUGACAAAUUAUUAAACUGCAAGUUUUAAGCAAAGCUUACAGAAAAUUUAAGCUGAGCAGCCGCUCCUUUCAAAUAAAACAAAGAAAAUCUCAAUCUUUCAUUCUCUUCUUGCACAACGUCAUCUGCCGAUAUCGACUGGUAAAUGGCUCGAUCAAUGAGAGACGCGAAGUAAAAGCAAAGCGUGAGAACUGCGGCAGAGAAGUCACGGUACAGUGAAUACCGAGCCCGCGAGAGAAUCGUCGAAGGAGAGAACAAUCCGCAUAGAUGAAUAAUUAUUUACGAUGCCUGCGCGUUGUUACAUGAUUGGGAAUUAUUUACUCUCUUAUCUCAAUCUUUCGCGUGAGUCACGUGGUUACAUUAAGCAUCUAAACUUUGAAGAUUUCAUCUAAUUAACAUAAGCUGAGGCAGCGUUUGCUUCGCAAAUCAAUAUCUGAUGUAAAGAUGCCGAUGUCGAAUAUUCAGGAAAAGAACAGUCAUUAACGUACAUAUAAUAUUUAUGUUUAAAACCAUUGCACUUGAUUAGUAUGUUAAUACAUUCAUUUUCAUAUCUUAAUUUUUGAUAAAAAA
rnacentral:lncRNA from 1 species